rnacentral:lncRNA from 1 species
UUAGAUAUAAUUAGGGAAAUGAAGCCGUAGAGGAAAUUUCACUGUGCAAAAUCAUAUUUGACGUUUUGAAAUAAUAAGAGUAUUUCAAUAAAUAAGAACACUGGGCAAAAGUGCUAAAAAGCCAAGCACCUUGUAAUUAACCCCCUCCCUGAAAAUUUCCAUGUCCAGUGUGUGCAUGAUCUACAGUCGGCUAAGUCCUGUCCCAACCCUUAAAAAGAAAGUAAUCCGUAAAGUCUCGAGUUUUAGAGCAGUUCCUGCAAUCACUUGCAAUUUAGCAGUGAGUCACUGAAGUUCUACCUUAGCCUUGUGCCCCCUCUUGCUUUGAAAUCUUUACUCUAGCAGGCUCAAUCGUGGGACACAGAAGAGCUUCUGGUGUCCUUCUUUCAGCUGUGGGGGAGACAGAUUUCCAACAGGCUUUCUUAGCACGUCAGCCAUUAUUUUAAAAUCUGGAGCACACACGUAUGUGCUGCACAGUUUCCGAAGUUUAGAACCACACAGCUAAGCUUUGCUUACAUGUUUUGCGAAGGGAGUCUGCGAUCUUAGGAUAACGGCCUUUAAGGACCCCAGUAAAGGGUGAGUAAGUCACCGACGUGCUCCUAGGAAAUCGAGGUGGGGGAGGAAAAUGCUUUGCGAACUUUUGAAUAUUUUUUCAUUUUUCUUGGAAAUUUGUACCUCCUACUGGAAUCUGUAAAAUUACCAAUUCUAAUACACCCUAAAUUGCUGAUAAAAUGCUAUCAAGCACACAAUACGUUCUUUAGAAGGAUAUUAGCUUCCCAGUUUGUGAUGGUACCAUUUUAGAAAUUGUAGAAUUGAGCAACUAAAAUUAAUUCAGCGCCCUCUUCCCUUUGAAAGGUAAUUUUUAUUUAAAAAAAAUUUUUUUAACUUGUGCCAUGCUUUUUUUAUUCCACAUAUAAAGCCAAGAAUCAAGACACGGCUUUUUUUUUUCUUUUUAAAUCAGGAAUAAUGUUUUCUUUAUCUCCAGUACAUACUAUUAAAAUUUUGUUGUUACUACUUUGGAUUGAAAAAUAUUAAUUAUAAUUCAUCAUCUGAAUCAAGGUGAAAUCCUCAUUCUCUUAUGCAUGUUACAUGUAAAUUAUAUGUAAAAAAUACAUAUAUUUAUGACCAAAUACAUUUAUCACAGAUUCCCAGUUGUUAUGCUCCCCUUCUAUUUGAGAGAUAAUAACCCCUUCAGGAUGUUUUUGGGGGUGGUUAGACUCUUUGAUGUCAGUACAAGAUAACUGAAAAAGAGACCAGGCGAGCUUCUGAAGUGCAUUAAAGAUGCUACAUAGUAGCUCCGAGAGGCUCUCCAAGCACAAAUGAGUGCAAGGCUGUAGAGUUAAGUACCCACCAGCAAUGGGAGCAGAGAGCCUCGCCUCGGUCAGCUGCAGGCACACUUAAGUGUGGUCUUUAUAUUAAAAAGAAAGAGGAUUGGAAAGAGGGUAUAGUGAGGAGAUCAGCUGCCUUGGUGGAGACGCUGGUGGCUGUCUACCACUGUCCUGGGGCUGUUUCUGCCCUCAAAAAAGCUUGUGCUACAGCCGGAGUUUCAUUACUGUUGGUAACAAACGAAAGCCAAGUUUGACACAAAACGGAGGGAACCAAAGCAAAAGAUUCGGAAAAUGGCUUCAUUAUGUCUGGGAGGAAAGGAUCCUUUCUAUGGCUGCUUGCUUGCUUGCUUGCAGUUGGUCUAACAAGCUCAGGAUUUUCUCCCAUUGCUUUAUCUCUAUUCGAGUCAGUGAGCUUCUUUCUCAAUUUCCUUCAUAAUCAAUACAUAUCAAUAUAUAUAUAUAUAUAUAUAUAUAUAUAUACACACACACACACACACAUAUACACACAGACAUGUAUAUGUAUAUGUACAUAGUUAAGGGACACAGUUUCAGAUAGGUUUUAUGUAUAAAUAAUCGAGUAAGAAGGUUGCCUUCCCAAGAUAGAAGCACAAGUUCGUAGGAUACAGACGUAGUAAAAUGGACUCCCAAACCUGCACUCUACUUUCAGACAAAGACGGAAGAAAAAAAAAAAAAAAGAAAAAAGAAAGAAAGAAAGAAAGAAAGAAAGAAAGAGAAAGAAAGAAAUCCUAAGCCUGGUUUGCCUUUUCACAGAACACUCAAAGCUGGCUUGCAGCUCCUCUGAAGGGCACAUUGUCAGCAAUGAUUGAAGUGGCAUCUUACCCAGGAGCGGCUGCAGGCUCGAGCUGCCAGGGUUCCCGGCCAGCUUUCUAAAACACCAUUAUUCUUGGACAUGCAAGUCGAACGAGUGAAAACCUGAAUUCUCCCCACCCCCACGAUCAUCCUGCUUGUUUUAACUAGAUUAAGUGCAUCUGUUUACUAAGUCUUCAUAAUGUCCUGGGUACUGAAGAUUUAACGCCAUUAAACGUGCCUUUGUGGAAAGAGGCAAAUCGAAAGUGGAUCCCCGAGGCUUUCUGAGGCUGGACUGUGGGCCAGGGGCCGAACAGAGAAAGCCACGGCUCAAGGAAGGACAUGGAAGGAAGUUGCUGGCUAAAUUCCCAUCAGGCAGAUCUUGGGAGAAA